rnacentral:rRNA from 1 species
UACGGGGGGGGGCAAGCGUUGUUCGGAAUUACUGGGCGUAAAGGGCGCGUAGGCGGUUCGAUAAGUCAGCUGUGAAAACCAUGGGCUUAACUCAUGGCCUGCAGUUGAGACUGUCGGGCUGGAGUGUGGGAGAGGAGAGUGGAAUUCCUGGUGUAGCGGUGAAAUGCGUAGAUAUCAGGAGGAACACCGGUGGCGAAGGCGGCUCUCUGGACCACAACUGACGCUGAGGCGCGAAAGCGUGGGUAGCAAACAGG